rnacentral:misc_RNA from 1 species
UAUCCGUUGGUGAACCAGCGGAGGGAUCAUUACAGAGUUGCAAAACUCCCAAACCAUUGUGAACGUUACCUAUCCCGUUGCUUCGGCGGGCGACCCGGGCCCCGCGCCCGGCGCCCCCCGGCCCCCCGUGGGCGCCCGCCGGAGGUAAACCAAACCCUUGAAUAGCAUGGCCUCUCUGAGUCUUCUGUACUGAAUAAGACAAAACUUUCAACAACGGAUCUCUUGGUUCUGGUAUUGAUGAAGAACGCAGC